rnacentral:lncRNA from 1 species
AUGACAAGAGUAAUCUAUUUUUUUCACAGCUGGUCGGUUGGCCAGAGUUUCUCAUCAAGGAGUACAUGCUGUUUGCUCCCCAGAUGGACAGCCUGGAUGAGCUACAAAUCCACAGAGCCUGGGACACAAGAAAUUCCAAUGCUCAACCAAGUGCUCCAAGUGGAAGGCCAAGUCUCAGUUGGUAUACCAGGUUGGGUUGUGGACAUCAGAAGCCAGGAGAAGCAGUAACAAGCUAGAGUGGCCCCAUGUACCAGGACAAGGAUGGUGAGAGGUUCAAAACCAGACUUCACAUGCAGGAGUCCAAAGAGUUAACUCUGGGGAGUCCUGACUUGAUGAAGACUUCUCGUGCAUGGCUGCAGAGGGCAGAGGUGUGACCCAGGGCUGGAAGGAAGGGAGGCCAAGGUAGACUGUUGUCUCAGAAUGAGGAAAAACGAGCUGCCAAAGAUUGGAGUGCUUUCCAUUUCUGUGGAGGUGUCCAGGGAAGGUCUGGGCAAUCACUAGUUGGAAUUCUUGGGGAGGAGACUUACGCAUGUCUGCCAAUUGGAGUAAAUAACUCUGAGUCCCUUCCACUUCAAAUAUUCUAUAGUUUCAUGAGACUGUAUUUAUUUCUUUAAGAGGAUGAGAUGUAUUUUGUGAUUCAUAUCGUCGUUUUUCCUGAAUAUUUUACAGAUUCCACUGUUGUGAUCUUCCUCACAACCUUUUUUCCCUUAGAUAUUAUAAUAUGCACCUUACUCUAGUUGAAUGUAAAUUUACCAUGGAUUCUGAGGCAGCAAAAAUUUAAGGAAUUUGCUUUUGAAAUGAGAAAAUGCAUCGUGAUAAAGAUGAUAAUAAUCAUCAACCACUUUAAACACUUUUCAAGAAUGAGAUAUCAUAUUUUAAAGGGUGGAAAGCGUCUUUAGAAUGGAUUCAGAAUUUCCUAUGCAGCCUUUAUGUUCUAAAUAUUCUAUGUUGUGAGAGGACAGUUACAGUAUCACUAGAUUUUCAACUGCUUAAAAUAGGCUCCUGAUACGAGAUGACUUCAAGCUCUGGAGCAGAAUUGGAAUCUUUAUCUUUUUAUGUAAUAAAUUAUUCUUAGAUUGUUAAGUGAUAGCCCUA